GAUGAACGCUAGCGGAAGGCUUAAUACAUGCAAGUCGAGCGGUAUAGUGACUUCGGUUGCUAGAGAGCGGCGCACGGGUGAGUAACGCGUACAUGACCUACCUCUAAGAUCGGGAUAGCCCUGGGAAACUGGGAUUAAUACCGGAUGUGAUAAUAAGUAUAAGGAUUUAUUAUUAAAGUUGAGGCGCUUAGAGAUGGGUGUGCGUCUGAUUAGCUAGUUGGUAGGUAAGGGCCUACCAAGGCGACGAUCAGUAGGGGGCUGAGAGCGUGAUCCCCCACACGGGUACUGAGACACGGACCCGACUCCUACGGGAGGCAGCAGUAGGGAAUAUUGGUCAAUGGACGGAAGUCUGAACCAGCCAUUCCGCGUGCAGGAAGAAGGUCCUAUGGACUGUAAACUGCUUUUAGCAGAGAAGAAACGCCUUCAUUUAUGAGGGUCUGACGGUAUCUGCGGGAAUAAGCACCGGCUAACUCCGUGCCAGCAGCCG
rnacentral:rRNA from 1 species